rnacentral:misc_RNA from 1 species
UGGAAGAAUCUUGGAGUUGGGAAUGUCACACGUAAUUGAAGGAAGAACAAGAAAACUAUAGCAGCUGCUCCCAACCCCAGAACCUUUGCUGUCUUGGGACGGAUCACCACUGCAAGAGGGGAAGUUGCUACUGUGAUGAAUUCUGCCAUGUGGCACCAGACUGCCACCCAGACCACAGUGUCCUCUGCAACCCUGGUAACUCACAUACAGGCCCGAUUCCACCGACAGCAAAGCUGGAUGCUAUGGCUGGCAGAGGCAAACCCUUUGCCUGCACUUCAGGCCAAAGCCGGGAUGUGGCCUAGAUGGUUCCUAAGCUUCUCAGAUGACCAAGAUGGUGCUGCAGAUGGUGCUGAGGAUGGAGAACCCACCAAGCCCCGCUAGGAGCCACCUAGACUGGAUGCAGAGCAUGGUUCAGCGAGUUCUCCAAACCAGCCUCCCAGGAAUGCCAUUCACCAUGGCUGUGAGGAGAAUAAAGAAGAGAGCCUGACUCCUCUCCUGAGGCCCCUUCCCCACCCUGAGCCAGCA